AGGGAAAUUUCUGGGUCAUAUGGUAAGUCUAUAUUUAACUUUUUGAGGAACUGCCAAACUAUUUCCCACAGUGGCUGCACCAUUUUACUUUCCCACCAGAAAU
rnacentral:pre_miRNA from 1 species